AGUUAGGCCCAGGGUGCUUUUAAGAGAAACGUCAAAGUGGAUAGGGUUGCUUCAUUUCCCAGGGGUGGAAAGCCACUAAAAUAUUUCUUCUGUGUUCCUGGUUCCAAUUUGCCACUCAAAAAGCCAAACAAAGAAAUCAUCCCCCAGAGUUCCAUUCCAAUUGAUUUAGAUCCCUGAGGCUAAUUUUGACCAAAAUGGAAGGAGAAGCAGAAGGUGUGGAAACCCAUGGCUUUCUGCACAACAGAUACACAUGAUGAGAAGUCUGUAUUCUCUUACACACAUAUACACACACACACACACACACAACCAGUGUUCAUAUCGCCUUCCACUGAAGCUCAUACCAGUUCCUCUAGCCAAGUUGUCAUGGCAACACCAGCUGCCAAUGAGAUCAUGGAAGACAAGGUCAUAAUGGCAAUGGUGCCUUAAUAUUUUACCUGGCAAAGCCACUUAGUUAUUAAGAUGAAUAACCAUAAGUCAUAAACUCAUAGGAAGCUAGGCACCAUUCAUGUACAUGUUUAGUGUACAAUUGGGGGUGGGGAAUGGAAAUGACAGCGAAGGGAAAGGAACAAAAAGGAAGAGAGGAUGAGGCAGAGAGCGGAGAAGAAGGUCUCUGAUGCUGAUCCUUAUUUUUCAGUGUGGACCAUGCACAGACUCAUCUACUCACCUGAGGAUUAUGAGGAUUAUGAGUUUUAUGGAGCAAAAUUUGCCUAGAACAGGUUGUCAGCUUCUGUGGACACAGUCUUCUACCCUCAGAAAUCCCAUUGGAAGAAAGAACAAAUGAAGCAUCCCAAGGACUGGAGGAUUCUCUUCCCCCAGGGUAUUCAAGGAAGACACUGGGGAACAAAUUGAACAAAGUUUAUUUCAUCAACAAUGAAAAAUGCCCAGAAGGAAAUGAAGCACAAGAUUCAGUUACACAAAGAUGAAAGCUAUUGACCACUUGGCCACUUCUCAUACUAAAAGAGAAGGAAAUAACACGAAGUACUGGAAGUGACAUUAUAUUGUCCUCAUGGUGACAACCAGGAUGGGCCUGACAUAAGCCAGUCCAGGCUGUAUGUGUGGCCCGAGUGCACACAUGCGGUUUCUCUGGCCACCGAAUCAGAACCAGCUGGGCCCCACAAGUCAGUCUCUGGGGGCUGUGAUUCUGCAUUGCAAACAAGUCCUUGGGUAGCUCUCAGGGUUCACCAAGAUUUGAGAACCACUAGUGUGGCUGACUCCAGUGAAACAGUCCCACUUUUACUGCUUUCAACUGUCAUUUAUAUAGAUUCAGGCAAAGAAUGGUUUUUAGAAUGAUGCCCGAUGUAGCAAAUAAAAUGAUCUCAACAUAUAGUU
rnacentral:lncRNA from 1 species